rnacentral:sRNA from 1 species
UGAUGAAGGUUUAUAUCCGUAUAAAAGC